CGACCAGCUUUGCCAAAGGGGCACUCGCUCCGAACACCGAGGUGGACGGAGGACGAGACUAUCCCCGGCCGGCGUCCACCCGCGCUUGACCCACCCUCCCUGAGCCCCGCAGAAAGACACGUUUGCAGCGAAAGGCUCUUACACACCAACCGGGUUUUUAUUCGUCCCUUACCCGGCGUGCGCUCUGGGAGCGCGGGAAACAAGGAAAACGCACAUACCUGGCGGCGCUCCGAGGGCGGCCUCGCGGGCCCGCCGCUGGCGAGGGGGCCCCCAGAAGCCACUCCCCGCCCGGCUGGUCGCCCCACGGCCCGUCCCUCCCUCCCCGGCGACGCACCCCGCGGAGCCAACUCUCCAGGAAGCGCGAGGAGCUUCCUGUCUGGGCGCUGCGUCCAUCUUCCAGCGCCAGGGCCCGCACCUCCUCCCCGUGCGCGGGCGCGCAGAGUCCCCGCGGCCGGUAGACCCAGAAGGGGACUCUGAAGCCGCGGAGCCGAGCGUCCCGCUGCUGGACUGCGGCUCCAGCUGCAGGUCCGGGCCCGGGGCGUCUUUCUCCGCCUGGGCUCCCGCCUUCCCACGUUUCCAGCCAAACUGCGGAGACCGACGCUGAGCCCUCGGGGAAGACCAGGCGGCGGCGGCGGCGGGAGCGGCGGGGUUGGGGAAGACCCCCGCGUGGCGGCUGCGCAGCAGGACGGCAGCAGGACCCCGGAGGCCCAGAAGGGGUUGGUUAAGAACAGCUCUGAUCCGCGCCCCGCGCCUUGCGCAUUUCCCCGAGGACUUGCAGAGAAGCGAAGCACUCCCGGGAGGGAAGGAGGGUGCCCUGAGAGCGAGGACGGGACAGCGCCCCGGAGUCCCGGAGGGAGGUGCUGCUUAGAAGCGUCUCUGCCCGCAACGAGGUCCCCUGGGGUGGGCCGGGGGGAUGGCCGUGGGAGAGGGGCCCAGGAGCCUGUCCGGGUCUUACGCGCUGCCUGGCGUUGUCUCAGGGUCACCCCGAAUGAGGAGCAGACUCCUGUUCCCCGGAGCUGGGUCAUACUGAGGGAGAAAUGUCAGGACCCCAAGAGCCAGGGCCCUGGGGCUCUCAGAUCUGGAGUCUCCACGGCCAGGGCUGCAUGCCUGCUGCUCUUUGAGCCCUCCUGGGAGGUGGGCCUCUGCCCAGCUCAUCUGGAAGACAGGUCAAGGGAAGGGCCUGCCGCUGCCCUCAGCCCUGUGGGACGGCAGGAGGAGAGAAGUAUUCUGCUGCUUCCCCACUGGGGGUGGGUGAUGAGACCUGUUUGGGAUGCUCAUUUGCUAGUUCCAGGUCUUCUUUUCCCUAAGGAAACACAAAGCAGAUUGGCUUGCUUCUAGAUGACGACUUCUGUGGACUCUAGUCCUACACUUUUCUUCAAAGUAGCAGACACAAUCUUAAUUCCAUGAGGAGGAGGAGCCACAACAGGGGCAUGGGCUUUGGUGGUCCCCAGUGUCAGGAAGGGUGGCUUCCAAUUUUCCUUGGUUUCCAAACCUCGCCUCAAAAUGAAAUCACAAAUAAACCAAAAUAAAACUCAAGUAAAGCAUCUGUGGAUGGUUCGGUUUGAAAGCAGUGGACAGAGAGAUCAGGAAGGGCCCACCUGUAGGAUCCAGUUCGUCCAUCUAGGGUUGAGUUGAACCCAGGAGGUAAGUAAGGUGCUGCAUGGCAGAGGGACCUGCCAGGUUUGGCCUAAGGAGGGUCAGGCCCCCACGUCACUGGAGCUGCUGUCGCCAAAUUCACCGUCCAACACCUCAUUACUAAAGCCACUAGACAAUGACCUCUGAGGCUCCACCUCGGGGUUCCUCACUCCUGGGAUCAGGGGAGUGCUGAGCGAGCCAUGCAGCAGCCAGGGACAAGCAGCCCCUCCCAGUAGCCUGCCCUGGUCCGGGCCAGGUUGCAGCCCACAGACCCCAUCAACGUGGCCUUGGAAAUGCUGCUCCUGGGGAUUAAGCAUUCAAGGCUUGAGAACUCCUGCCCUCAGUGCCUGGAAAUGACAGAAAAAAAUUAAAAUUCGUUAGAACCAGGAGAACAAGAAGGGCACCCUUAAACCGGAAAUCCUGAGGAAUCCUGGGGAGAUGUGGAGGCCAUUGCUCUGGCUGGAGGGAAGAAACCACAGCCAAAGGCACUGAGGCAGAAACCGCGGGCAGGUGACGGGGGCUCAGAGGCAGCAGCUGAGGGGGCCUGGGGCAACUUUCAGGGUGAUGCACAGGGUGUCUGUGGAGCUCGGCCCCACCCCUCGCUAUCCUAAGCAGCAGGCAGUGGACAAAGAAGUUCCCAUUGGUGAACAACACCUGGAAGGAGCAGAGAGUCUCAUGUCCCUGGACUUGCUGGGCCCUCCACACGGUCGCUUGAGGCCACUGACCGCUUGCUGAUGGACAAACGGGGAACUUCACAUACAAAGAGGAGCACAGAUGCCGGCCCCACGGGAAGCACCAAACACCGCAAAUGGACCGACUCAUGAGCUGGCUGAGGCUGUAGCGGGCCAUCUGGGUCAGGCUCUCCUUCCUCCGUGCAUGGGCUAGACUCCAUUUCCCCAAUUCCCUAACAAGGAGGUGUGGCCAUGUGACCAGCUCCUCUGCAGUGGAGUUGAGCAGACAUGACAGGUGCCACUCCUGUGCCUGGCAGCACCUCCCUCCACACUCCUCCCCCUUCCCGUGGGCCCGAAUGGCUAUGACACCAGUGAGUCAGGAAGCUUCACUACCAGGAUUUCAAAUCCCCGUCAGCCGGGGGCCCUGAACCACUGCAGGAGUCGAGGCCACUGUUGACUUGGAAGCCUUGCCACAGGUUCUCAAGAGAGAGAAGCCUGUGCCCCUGGAAGAGUGGCUCAUGGGAAGCCACUGGUCCAAGGAGGAUGAGGGAACCCUGGAGCAGACCUGAACCCGCCCUGCUUGGCCCUGAGAGCCCUGAGUUAUGUAGGCUGCCAGCACAGCAUGGCUGCUAACAGAGCGGUGUAUGUCCACGCCCAGAACUGAACCCAGGCCACUGAAGUGGAGCAUGCUAAAAACAGCAUCUUUUCAGAGAAAAAAUAAAAGAGAUUUUCAUCCUUUAAAAACAGCAUCUGGAGAGUUGAACUCUGAGUGACUUUUGUUUUCUUCUUUAUAAUCUUAUGUUUCAUAUAAGUUUUUAUAAGAAUACAGUAUAUUAUUUAUAUCUUCAGGAAAAAAAACAAAAUCAUGUUUGUUGUGACAAAAUAAAAAUAAGUUUAAAAAUGUACUUUCCAAAAGUCAACUAGAUAUCUUGGGACUUAAAAAAUUUGGACGUUGAAAUGAAAAAUACUCAAUUGGUGGGCCAAGGAUUGGAACAGACCCAGCAGGGCCGUGAACUAGCGAGCUGGAAGCUCAAACUCAAGAAUUCUCUACAACACUCACUAGGAAGGAAAAGCUUAAGAAACAUGGAAAAUAAGCCCACAGUUUUCUCAUCCAGUUAUUGAGGAGGAAUUCCAAAGGAUAGAGCCUUUGGGGAACAAUACACCACCCUGGCUGAGGAAGAUGCAUGAAGAUAUUUUAGGACAUGAAGGAGGGGCUGGACCGGUGGCGCAGCGGUUAAGUGCUCAUGUUCCGAUUCUCAGUGGCCCAGAGUUCACCCAUUCGGAUCCCGGGUGUGGACAUGGCGCUGCUUGGCAAAAGCCAUGCUGUGGUAGGCGUCCCACGUAUAAAGUAGAGGAAGAUGGGCAGGGAUGUUAGCUCAGGGCCAGUCUUCCUCAGCAAAAAGAGGAGGAUUGGCCGCAGACGUUAGCUCAGCACUAAUCUUCCUCAAAAAAAAAAAAAAGGAAAAGGACACGAAGGAAAAGAUCAAAAGGGAACACCCAGGGGAAGAAACAUUACCGCCAAAAAGAGAAAGCAGAGGAUGAGCUGACAUCAGACCUCGGCAGCCUUGGAUUCCAGAUGAUUGAGGGGCACCUUCAGUUUGGAGGGAAGAUUAUUGGGGCCUGUAAUUCUCUGCCAGGCCUAACAGCCAUUCGGUUGGGAGGAAAAACAAACACUUUUUUGGGUCAUGCCAAGUGUUUAGAGAGUUUAUUUCCAACAAAUACUAUCUGAAAUAAUUGCUAGAUUAUAUACUCUAGCAAAACAAAACAAUCCAAGAGGAAGGCAUGGGCUACAGGAGCCAGUGAAUCUAUUUUUAUCGGGGGACGCAGCCUGGAAAAUACUCUCAACUGUCUGGAAGGGAACUCCGGAUGAUCUCAUCCCAGGCAGGAGAGGCGAGAGGAGGAGGGAGAUGAAGCCAAGAAGUGCCAUGUCUUAUUCGUGGGGACAGUCUGGGUACUUAUUAGUUUCAGGUGGGUCGGGAAAGGUGAGUUCACACGUGCGUGUCAACUUUAAGUAACCACCAGGUGAACAGAAAUUCGAGUAAACCUUCCAAACCUUUAGAAGAAAAAUUGGAACAAAGACAGUUUGCCUUACUUAACAAAAGCAGGAAGUGGAUUGGGAGGAUCCCCCCAUAGGAACAGCUGGAAACGUGCGAAUGAGAACCCACAAUAGGUCACAGAAAUAGGGUUAAGUGUAUUGGUAACCCACAAUAAAUGUCAGCAAGGCAAAGUCAUGCAUUAAAAGACAGAGACACUUGAGUUAGAUAAAAAUUCAACAUCCGGACAGUGCUGUCAGUGAGG
rnacentral:lncRNA from 1 species